rnacentral:rRNA from 1 species
AGAGUUUGAUCCUGGCUCAGGAUGAACGCUGGCGGCGUGCCUAAUACAUGCAAGUCGAGCGAACGGACGAGAAGCUUGCUUCUCUGAUGUUAGCGGCGGACGGGUGAGUAACACGUGGAUAACCUACCUAUAAGACUGGGAUAAUUUCGGGAAACCGGAGCUAAUACCGGAUAAUAUUUUGAACCGCAUGGUUCAAAAGUAAAAGACGGUCUUGCUGUCACUUAUAGAUGGAUCCGCGCUGCAUUAGCUAGUUGGUAAGGUAACGGCUUACCAAGGCAACGAUGCAUAGCCGACCUGAGAGGGUGAUCGGCCACACUGGAACUGAGACACGGUCCAGACUCCUACGGGAGGCAGCAGUAGGGAAUCUUCCGCAAUGGGCGAAAGCCUGACGGAGCAACGCCGCGUGAGUGAUGAAGGUCUUCGGAUCGUAAAACUCUGUUAUUAGGGAAGAACAUAUGUGUAAGUAACUGUGCACAUCUUGACGGUACCUAAUCAGAAAGCCACGGCUAACUACGUGCCAGCAGCCGCGGUAAUACGUAGGUGGCAAGCGUUAUCCGGAAUUAUUGGGCGUAAAGCGCGCGUAGGCGGUUUUUUAAGUCUGAUGUGAAAGCCCACGGCUCAACCGUGGAGGGUCAUUGGAAACUGGAAAACUUGAGUGCAGAAGAGGAAAGUGGAAUUCCAUGUGUAGCGGUGAAAUGCGCAGAGAUAUGGAGGAACACCAGUGGCGAAGGCGACUUUCUGGUCUGUAACUGACGCUGAUGUGCGAAAGCGUGGGGAUCAAACAGGAUUAGAUACCCUGGUAGUCCACGCCGUAAACGAUGAGUGCUAAGUGUUAGGGGGUUUCCGCCCCUUAGUGCUGCAGCUAACGCAUUAAGCACUCCGCCUGGGGAGUACGACCGCAAGGUUGAAACUCAAAGGAAUUGACGGGGACCCGCACAAGCGGUGGAGCAUGUGGUUUAAUUCGAAGCAACGCGAAGAACCUUACCAAAUCUUGACAUCCUUUGACAACUCUAGAGAUAGAGCCUUCCCCUUCGGGGGACAAAGUGACAGGUGGUGCAUGGUUGUCGUCAGCUCGUGUCGUGAGAUGUUGGGUUAAGUCCCGCAACGAGCGCAACCCUUAAGCUUAGUUGCCAUCAUUAAGUUGGGCACUCUAAGUUGACUGCCGGUGACAAACCGGAGGAAGGUGGGGAUGACGUCAAAUCAUCAUGCCCCUUAUGAUUUGGGCUACACACGUGCUACAAUGGACAAUACAAAGGGCAGCGAAACCGUGAGGUCAAGCAAAUCCCAUAAAGUUGUUCUCAGUUCGGAUUGUAGUCUGCAACUCGACUACAUGAAGCUGGAAUCGCUAGUAAUCGUAGAUCAGC